GAUGAACGCUGGCGGCGUGCCUAAUACAUGCAAGUCGAGCGAACAGACGAGGAGCUUGCUCCUCUGACGUUAGCGGCGGACGGGUGAGUAACACGUGGAUAACCUACCUAUAAGACUGGGAUAACUUCGGGAAACCGGAGCUAAUACCGGAUAAUAUAUUGAACCGCAUGGUUCAAUAGUGAAAGACGGUUUUGCUGUCACUUAUAGAUGGAUCCGCGCCGCAUUAGCUAGUUGGUAAGGUAACGGCUUACCAAGGCAACGAUGCGUAGCCGACCUGAGAGGGUGAUCGGCCACACUGGAACUGAGACACGGUCCAGACUCCUACGGGAGGCAGCAGUAGGGAAUCGUCCGCAAUGGGCGAAAGCCUGACGGAGCAACGCCGCGUGAGUGAUGAAGGUCUGCGGAUCGUAAAACUCUGUUAUUAGGGAAGAACAAAUGUGUAAGUAACUAUGCACGUCUUGACGGUACCUAAUCAGAAAGCCACGGCUAACUACGUG
rnacentral:rRNA from 1 species